UAAAAUAUUAAUGACAUUUAAUAAUCAAUUUAUUUUACCAUGACUCAGAAGGAAUCCAUGUAACAUGUGUCAAUUGAGCCUGUGCUUUAUCAGCAAGACCUGACAACCAUGCCAUUUUCAUAUAAAAACAAAAAUAAAUUGUUGUAAUUUUGAUGACGUUUAACACUUCGCAAAAUUCAUGUUCUCAACUAUAAUAACUUAACCUAAAAUAACAGAAUAUAUAUAUCUAUAUAUAUCAAAAUUAUUUAAAAAUUCUUUUUAUCUUAAAUUUAAUUAUUAAGAAAUAUGAAUAAAAAUAUAAGAAUAUUAAGAUAAUGAUUUAGUAAAUAUUAAUUGUUAAUAAAUUUUUAUAAAUAAAACAUAAUUUAUUCAUAUAUUUGUUAUGA